GGAUUGUGGCUCAUUGGUAGAGCACUCACCUAGCAUGUGUGAGGCACUGGGUUCGAUCCUUAGCACCA
rnacentral:tRNA from 1 species